rnacentral:rRNA from 1 species
UACGGGGGGGGCAAGCGUUGUCCGGAAUUAUUGGGCGUAAAGAGCUCGUAGGCGGUGUGUCGCGUCGGCCGUGAAAACCUGCAGCUUAACUGUGGGCGUGCGGUCGAUACGGGCAUCACUGGAGUUCGGCAGGGGAGACUGGAAUUCCUGGUGUAGCGGUGAAAUGCGCAGAUAUCAGGAGGAACACCGGUGGCGAAGGCGGUGGUCUGGGCCGUAACUGACGCUGAGGAGCGAAAGCGUGGGGAGCGAACAGG